rnacentral:sRNA from 1 species
CUUAAAAGAUCUUCUGCUAAGAUCGCUCACUUCCUGUGAGCAACGCAGAAGUCAGCACAUCCUGUGCA